rnacentral:lncRNA from 1 species
GAUUUUGCACUAUUUCGGGUUUCACAAAGUUCCGAAACACUUUCUAAUCCACUAAACUUUGAUUGUCAUGAUUCUAAUGUCUACAACUAAGUAUGAAUCACCAUAAUAUGAAUUAAAAACUUAUUUGAGCAUCGUGAUUCAUAUUUUGAGUUAUUUCAGAUUUUUUCGAAGUCUUGAAUUCUUCGAUCUUCAACAAUAUGUACCGAUCCUUCACGACUCCGACUCAACUCACGAAACUUGCCAAUACAAAAUACUUAAUAAUAAGUCCAAUUGAAAUUGAACCCUCAACUUUAGAUUUUUUUUAUUUACUAUCGACUAUUUUACCGGAUCCUGAUCGGAGU